CCUACGGGAGGCAGCAGUGAGGAAUAUUGGUCAAUGGACGAAAGUCUGAACCAGCCAAGUAGCGUGAAGGAUGACUGCCCUAUGGGUUGUAAACUUCUUUUAUAAAGGAAUAAAACGAGGCACGUGUGCCUUUUUGUAUGUACUUUAUGAAUAAGGAUCGGCUAACUCCGUGCCAGCAGCCGCGGUAAUACGGAGGGUCCGAGCGUUAUCCGGAUUUAUUGGGUUUAAAGGGAGCGUAGAUGGGUUGUUAAGUCAGUUGUGAAAGUUCGCGGCUCAACCGUAAAAUUGCAAUUGAUACUGGCAGUCUUGAGUGCAGUGGAGGUAGGCGGAAUUCGUGGUGUAGCGGUGAAAUGCUUAGAUAUCACGAAGAACCCCGAUUGCGAAGGCAGCUUACUGAACUGUGACUGACGUUGAUGCUCGAAAGUGUGGGUAUCAAACAGGAUUAGAUACCCCUGUAGUC
rnacentral:rRNA from 1 species